rnacentral:rRNA from 1 species
UACGGAGGGGGCAAGCGUUAUUCGGAAUUAUUGGGCGUAAAGGGCGCGUAGGCGGCUAGAUGUGUCAAAGGUGAAAUCCCUCGGCUCAACUGAGGAACUGCCUUUGAAACUGUCUGGCUUGAGGCCGGGAGAGGGUAGCGGAAUUCCCAGUGUAGCGGUGAAAUGCGUAGAUAUCUGGAGGAAUACCGGUGGCGAAGGCGGCAUCCUGGACCGACAUUGACGCUGAUGAGCGAAAGCUAGGGGAGCAAACGGG